CCUACGGGAGGCAGCAGUGGGGAAUCUUGCACAAUGGAGGAAACUCUGAUGCAGCGAUGCCGCGUGAGUGAAGAAGGCCUUUGGGUUGUAAAGCUCUUUUGUAGGGGAAGAUAAUGACUGUACCCUAAGAAUAAGGUCCGGCUAACUUCGUGCCAGCAGCCGCGGUAAUACGAAGGGACCUAGCGUAGUUCGGAAUUACUGGGCGUAAAGCGCGCGUAGGCCGUUGAGUUAGUUAAUUGUGAAAUCCCAAAGCUUAACUUUGGAACUGCAAUUAAAACUGCUCGACUAGAGUUUGAUAGAGGAAAGCGGAAUACAUAGUGUAGAGGUGAAAUUCGUAGAUAUUAUGUAGAACACCAGUUGCGAAGGCGGCUUUCUGGAUCAACACUGACGCUGAGGCGCGAAAGUAUGGGUAGCAAAGAGGAUUAGAUACCCUCGUAGUCCAUACCAUAAACGAUGAUUGCUAGAUGUUGGAAAUUUAUUUCAGUAUCGCAGCUAACGCAUUAAGCAAUCCGCCUGGGGAGUACGACCGCAAGGUUAAACUCAAAGGAAUUGAACGG
rnacentral:rRNA from 1 species